UACGAAGGGGGCUAGCGUUGUUCGGAAUCACUGGGCGUAAAGGGCGCGUAGGCGGCCAAUCAAGUCGGGGGUGAAAGCCUGUGGCUUAACCACAGAAUUGCCUUCGAUACUGUCUGGCUUGAGACCGGAAGAGGUAAGUGGAACUGCGAGUGUAGAGGUGAAAUUCGUAGAUAUUCGCAAGAACACCAGUGGCGAAGGCGGCUUACUGGUCCGGUUCUGACGCUGAGGCACGAAAGCUAGGGGAGCAAACAGG
rnacentral:rRNA from 1 species